rnacentral:rRNA from 1 species
AGCGAACGCUGGCGGCAGGCCUAACACAUGCAAGUCGAACGAACCUUUCGGGGUUAGUGGCGGACGGGUGAGUAACACGUGGGAACGUGCCUUUAGGUUCGGAAUAACUCAAGGAAACUUGUGCUAAUACCGAAUGUGCCCUUCGGGGGAAAGAUUAAUCGCCUUUAGAGCGGCCCGCGUCUGAUUAGCUAGUUGGUUGAGGUAAUGGCUCACCAAGGCGACGAUCAGUAGCUGGUCUGAGAGGAUGAUCAGCCACAUUGGGACUGAGACACGGCCCAAACUCCUACGGGAGGCAGCAGUGGGGAAUCUUGCGCAAUGGGCGAAAGCCUGACGCAGCCAUGCCGCGUGAAUGAUGAAGGUCUUAGGAUUGUAAAAUUCUUUCACCGGGGACGAUAAUGACGGUACCCGGAGAAGAAGCCCCGGCUAACUUCGUG